AUUACCAGAAGUUUCUUAGUGGCGAACGGGUGAGUAACGCGUUGGUGAUCUGCCCCGAAGAGUGGGAUAACUCCGGGAAACCGGAGCUAAUACCACAUGUGGUCACGGUCUUUAGAAAGUCGUGACUAAAGGACUUCGGUCCGCUUUGGGAGGAACCUGCGUCCCAUCAGCUAGUUGGUAGGGUAAUGGCCUACCAAGGCAAAGACGGGUAGGGGACCUGAGAGGGUGACCCCCCACAAUGGUACUGAAACACGGACCAU
rnacentral:rRNA from 1 species